rnacentral:rRNA from 1 species
GCGGCGUGCCUAAUACAUGCAAGUCGAGCGGACAGAAGGGAGCUUGCUCCCGGAUGUUAGCGGCGGACGGGUGAGUAACACGUGGGUAACCUGCCUGUAAGACUGGGAUAACUCCGGGAAACCGGAGCUAAUACCGGAUAGUUCCUUGAACCGCAUGGUUCAAGGAUGAAAGACGGUUUCGGCUGUCACUUACAGAUGGACCCGCGGCGCAUUAGCUAGUUGGUGGGGUAAUGGCUCACCAAGGCGACGAUGCGUAGCCGACCUGAGAGGGUGAUCGGCCACACUGGGACUGAGACACGGCCCAGACUCCUACGGGAGGCAGCAGUAGGGAAUCUUCCGCAAUGGACGAAAGUCUGACGGAGCAACGCCGCGUGAGUGAUGAAGGUUUUCGGAUCGUAAAGCUCUGUUGUUAGGGAAGAACAAGUGCGAGAGUAACUGCUCGCACCUUGACGGUACCUAACCAGAAAGCCACGGCUAACUACGUGCCAGCAGCCGCGGUAAUACGUAGGUGGCAAGCGUUGUCCGGAAUUAUUGGGCGUAAAGGGCUCGCAGGCGGUUUCUUAAGUCUGAUGUGAAAGCCCCCGGCUCAACCGGGGAGGGUCAUUGGAAACUGGGAAACUUGAGUGCAGAAGAGGAGAGUGGAAUUUCCACGUGUAGCGGUGAAAUGCGUAGAGAUGUGGAGGAACACCAGUGGCGAAGGCGACUCUCUGGUCUGUAACUGACGCUGAGGAGCGAAAGCGUGGGGAGCGAACAGGAUUAGAUACCCUGGUAGUCCACGCCGUAAACGAUGAGUGCUAAGUGUUAGGGGGUUUCCGCCCCUUAGUGCUGCAGCUAACGCAUUAAGCACUCCGCCUGGGGAGUACGGUCGCAAGACUGAAACUCAAAGGAAUUGACGGGGGCCCGCACAAGCGGUGGAGCAUGUGGUUUAAUUCGAAGCAACGCGAAGAACCUUACCAGGUCUUGACAUCCUCUGACAACCCUAGAGAUAGGGCUUUCCCUUCGGGGACAGAGUGACAGGUGGUGCAUGGUUGUCGUCAGCUCGUGUCGUGAGAUGUUGGGUUAAGUCCCGCAACGAGCGCAACCCUUGAUCUUAGUUGCCAGCAUUCAGUUGGGCACUCUAAGGUGACUGCCGGUGACAAACCGGAGGAAGGUGGGGAUGACGUCAAAUCAUCAUGCCCCUUAUGACCUGGGCUACACACGUGCUACAAUGGACAGAACAAAGGGCUGCAAGACCGCAAGGUUUAGCCAAUCCCAUAAAUCUGUUCUCAGUUCGGAUCGCAGUCUGCAACUCGACUGCGUGAAGCUGGAAUCGCUAGUAAUCGCGGAUCAGCAUGCCGCGGUGAAUACGUUCCCGGGCCUUGUACACACCGCCCGUCACACCACGAGAGUUUGCAACACCCGAAGUCGGUGAGGUAACCUUUAUGGAGCCAGCCGCCGAAGGUGGG